UAGGGAAUCUUCCGCAAUGGGCGAAAGCUUGACGGAGCAACGCCGCGUGAGUGAUGAAGGUCUUCGGAUCGUAAAACUCUGUUAUUAGGGAAGAACAAAUGUGUAAGUAACUAUGCACGUCUUGACGGUACCUAAUCAGAAAGCCACGGCUAACUACGUGCCAGCAGCCGCGGUAAUACGUAGGUGGCAAGCGUUAUCCGGAAUUAUUGGGCGUAAAGCGCGCGUAGGCGGUUUUUUAAGUCUGAUGUGAAAGCCCACGGCUCAACCGUGGAGAGUCACUGGAAACUGGAAAACUUGAGUGCAGAAGAGGAAAGUGGAAUUCCAUGUGUAGCGGUGAAAUGCGCAGAGAUAUGGAGGAACACCAGUGGCGAAGGCGACUUUCUGGUCUGUAACUGACGCUGAUGUGCGAAAGCGUGGGGAUCAAACAGG
rnacentral:rRNA from 1 species